rnacentral:rRNA from 1 species
UACAGAGGAUGCAAGCGUUAUCCGGAAUUAUUGGGCGUAAAGCGUCUGUAGGUGGCUUUUUAAGUCCGCCGUCAAAUCCCAGGGCUCAACUCUGGACAGGCGGAGGAAACUACCAAGCUGGAGUACGGUAGGGGCAGAGGGAAUUUCCGGUGGAGCGGUGAAAUGCGUAGAGAUCGGAAAGAACACCAGCGGCGAAAGCGCUCUGCUGGGCCGACACUGACACUGAGAGACGAAAGCUAGGGGAGCGAAUGGG